UGCAGGAUAGCUCGGUGGUCAGAGCACCUGGUACAUAUUCAGGACUCGGAGGCAUGGGUUCGAACCUCAUCACGGUGU